GUGAGGAAUAUUGGUCAAUGGGCGGGAGCCUGAACCAGCCAAGUCGCGUGAAGGAAGAAGGAUCUAUGGUUCGUAAACUUCUUUUGCAGGGGAAUAAAGUGCAGGACGUGUCCUGUUUUGUAUGUACCCUGAGAAUAAGGAUCGGCUAACUCCGUGCCAGCAGCCGCGGUAAUACGGAGGAUCCGAGCGUUAUCCGGAUUUCUUGGGUUUAAAGGGUGCGUAGGUGGUUUGAUAAGUCAGCGGUGAAAGUUUGCAGCUUAACUGUAAAAAUGCCGUUGAAACUGUCGGACUUGAGUGUAAAUGAGGUAGGCGGAAUGCGUGGUGUAGCGGUGAAAUGCAUAGAGAUCACGCAGAACUCCGAUUGCGAAGGCAGCUUACUAAGCUACAACUGACACUGAAGCACGAAAGCGUGGGGAUCAAACAGGAUUAGAUACCCCGGUAGUCC
rnacentral:rRNA from 1 species